CUAUCUUUCGGUUUGUUCUCUUGUCUGCUUGAACUUGGCAGUGUCAAUCCUUUUAGGCUUAUUGGAGUUGGUUUGUCAGUCUGGACCUUUGCCACUGCUGGUUGUGGUUUUUCAUUUGACUUUUGGUCGAUCACAAUUUUCCGCAUGCUAGUGGGUGUUGGUGAGGCUUCUUUCAUAAGCCUUGCAGCUCCAUUCAUCGAUGAUAAUGCCCCAGUUGCUCAG